AUUGAACGCUGGCGGCAGGCCUAACACAUGCAAGUCGAACGGUAACAGGAAGAAGCUUGCUUCUUUGCUGACGAGUGGCGGACGGGUGAGUAAUGUCUGGGAAACUGCCUGAUGGAGGGGGAUAACUACUGGAAACGGUAGCUAAUACCGCAUAAUGUCGCAAGACCAAAGAGGGGGACCUUCGGGCCUCUUGCCAUCGGAUGUGCCCAGAUGGGAUUAGCUAGUAGGUGGGGUAACGGCUCACCUAGGCGACGAUCCCUAGCUGGUCUGAGAGGAUGAGCGGCCACACGUGUACUGAGACACGCUCCAGACUCCGACGUUAGGCAGCAGUAGGGAAUCUGCAGCAAUGGGCGGAAGCGUGACGGAGCAACGGAGCGUGAGUGAGGAAGGUCUUCGGAUCGUAAAACUCUGUUAUGAGGGAACAACAAAUGGGGAAGUCACUAUGCACGGCUUGACGGUCCCGAAUCAGAAAGCCAAGGCGAACUACGUG
rnacentral:rRNA from 1 species